rnacentral:tRNA from 1 species
GGAAAAAUGGCUGAGUGGUCGAAAGCGUCAGAUUGCUAAUCUGUUGUAUGAUUAAUAUCAUACCGAGGGUUCGAACCCCUCUUUUUCCG